GAUGAACGCUAGCGGCAGGCCUAAUACAUGCAAGUCGAACGAUACUUUCCAGCUUGCUGGAAAGGAAAGUGGCGCACGGGUGCGUAACGCGUAUGCAACCUACCUUAAUCAGGGGGAUAGCCCGAAGAAAUUCGGAUUAACACCGCAUAAAAUCACAGUACAGCAUUGCACAAUGAUCAAAUAUUAAUAGGAUUAAGAUGGGCAUGCGUGACAUUAGCUAGUUGGCGGGGUAACGGACCACCAAGGCGACGAUGUCUAGGGGAUCUGAGAGGAUGACACCCCACACUGGUACUGAGACACGGACCAGACUCCUACGGGAGGCAGCAGUAAGGAAUAUUGGUCAAUGGAGGCAACUCUGAACCAGCCAUGCCGCGUGCAGGAAGACAGCCCUCUGGGUCGUAAACUGCUUUUAUUCGGGAAUAAACCUACUUACGUGUAAGUAGCUGAAUGUACCGAAGGAAUAAGGAUCGGCUAACUCCGUGCCAGCAGCCGCCGUAA
rnacentral:rRNA from 1 species